rnacentral:hammerhead_ribozyme from 1 species
AGCCGAAACUGGGCGUCGGCCCCGUCUGCCCCGGGUGGCCUCCGGGGUACUGAUGAGGCAGGCCAUA